AACCAAAAAGGGCUGUCACUUUCUCUCUUUCCAAGAGGAAGAUCCGACACUGCAAAUGGAAGCACUCAGCACCCUGUCCCUCCCCCCAGGUAAUCUUCUGAGCUACCCAAAGCUGGAUAUAGAGCAGCCUCUCCUUUUGAAGCCAUCAUUUUCUCCACGGGAUUGUCCCUUAUUACUAAAAGUGUAACGCUUUCCAGAAACAA